GAAAAGGGACAAUGGAGAAGUGGGCAGAAGGUUGACAAAGAUGUUCUGGAAGCGAUCAAUAGCUUUUGAACUCUCUCCGUGCACAAUUAAGUUGCCUCGGGGGUCGUGUGUGCAUUGUAUAUAGUGAAAGGAUUUAAUGCUAACAAAUCACUGUCAAUCAAAGAUUAGCCAACCAUCUCUGCCAAAACUAUGGAUGGUGAAUCGAAGAUGCUUUUACAGCUGAAAGGGAUCCUGAAACAGCCUGAAAGCUGACUGUGCAAGUUCACGGGGAAAAUGUGAGUGAGCCAGAUAUAUCAUGAUUUCUUACCAGGUGUCUCUGGCCCUUGGAUUUAGUCUGGGGCAAUAACUAUUCCCCCACUCUUUUUCUGGAUUCUUCUGCCCUCCCAUUAAGAUUUAGGUGUCACCUGAGUACCUCCUGUUUCUAGAGGUCUCCCAGCCCCUGGGCUCUCCAGGGCCAGCUUUUAUCUCUACACUUUCUGCAUUGACCUGAGCUGAAUUAUGCGCUACCUACCAGCAGCUGUGAAUUCCUUAAUGGUGGAGACAACGCAGACUGCUUGCAUCUAUACAAAUGUAUUCAUCUGCCCCAAUUUCUGGUUUUCAUAUGCUUUCAGAUUAGAUGAAGGCAGCAUGGGAAGGAAGCCUAUUGUGGUGACCACUUGGAAAAUUGGUGGAGUUAAUCUGGAGACAUUUCCUAGAGGAAGUGACUCCACAGGAAAAAGGAUCUUUUCAGUAUCACCACAUCAAAGAUGUAGUAGAUGGAAAAGAGAAUGUAGGUCUUUUUGUAUAGAUCUGGUAAGCAAGCACAGGUACCUAGGAUGGAGCUAUAUUUAUGGUUUUUAAUCCCCACCUCUCAGUCACAAAUAAAAAUAGAAGUAGAAGUACAGACACAACUGCCCCUGCCCUGAUACUCCCUCAGUUUCAUAGCAGAGAUUUCUUACUCCAUCUAUUUCAUCUUUCAGAAUUUCUUUUGUUUUUCCUGAUAUUUUUUUUUAAUCCUGGGAAUCUGGUUUUCAAAGAUUGCCCAUGGUGCCCUCAUUACCAAAACUAGGAAUUUUCCAGUUUUGAUGAUAAAAGUCAUACACUCACUCUAUUUGCACCUUCUCCUCUGCCUAGCACAGCUAAAUUCUUUAUGAACAUCACAUUUAAUGACCACAAGAAGCAUCUUGUAAUAGUAUUUAUCACAGUUUUAAAUUUAAUUUACAGUAUUUAAUGUUUGCUAGUGUCAGAACAAAACAGGGACACAGACAAUAAUUAGUGACGGAUAGACAAGGACAGAAUAUUAUCCUCUGAUGCUGCAGCCCAGGCUGGGAGAACACAAGGUGAUACAGCUAACAAGCAGAGGAGGAGGGUAUGGAUUCUGUGCUGUUUGGUGCCAUAGCUCACCAGUGCUUAAUCUAGAUUAUUACAUCAGUCCUUAUGCUUGCCUUCCCUGAGGCCAUUCCACUAGUUGAAACUGAGGGUAAGGGCCAAUUCCAAGUUGACUUGAUGCCAAACGCUACGCUUAAACUCUCCGCCACGCACUCCUUCACCUCCUCUAUAAAAUUCUUUUUUUUUAAAUAUUUUAUUUUUUUUAGUUUUCAGCGGACAUGAGAUGUCUGUAUGUGGUGCUGAGGAUCAAAUCCGGGCCGCACGCAUGCCAGGCGAGCGCGGUACCGCUUGAGCCACAUCCCCAGCCCAAUAUCAAAUUCUUUCUUCUUUUGAAUUUUCUGUCAUAAUUUUUAUGAUUCUGAUCCCUUCCCCCCCUCAUUUUUUUUUAAUAAUUGAAGUUUUUCUUUUCUAGUCAUUUGUGCCAUUAUCAUUACUCUGUCACUUCUUAUGACCACUGUUUAGCUACUCAACUGUCACACUGGUUUUUGUUGUUGGUGGUGUUGUUUUUGAUGUGUGAUUUUAAUCUCUUACUCUCUAAUCUGUUUCUCCUUACAACCCCCAAAAGUAUCUUCCUAAAAAUUCUUUUACCAAUACAGUGAACAUUCUUGGUUGUCUUUACAGAGCCCUUAAUAGAUCCCUAGUUAUGAGUCUUUAUCAUCCAUGCCCCCCAAAUAGUCCACUUGUUCAAUGAGAAGUGGCCUGGUCCUGAUUCAUCUCAGGGCAACACUACCAUGCUCUUACCAGUCAUUGGUUAGUAAAUGGCUGUGUAACUUAAUUUUGAUUGAUGAAGAGGCCAUGCAAGUUUGUGACAGGCUUCAGGAACAUUCUUCUUUUCUCUUGAGAAUCACAGAAACCCACUAAAUGUCUCACAUUUAAGCCAGGAAGUUAUCACCCCUAAGUACUGUGAACCAUGGUAACACCCUGAGAAGAUCAACCUUAUGCCAACACUGUACAAAGUAAAGCACAAAGAUGAAAGGCAUGGAUGUUUGGCGGUGUCACUGAAUUGAUCUGCCCACCCAGAUGCCUACCUUUUCACUUGGUUUCUUAGAAUAUGAGCCAAUAAAAUCUGUUUAAACUGUAAUAAUUAGGUUUUCUACUUGUAGUGAAAAAAGCUUCCUUGUCUGAGAUAAGAAUUUUUUCUUUUUCCCUUUCCUUUCAAAAUGCUAAAUUAAGAGCUGGGGAUGUGGCUUAGUGGUAGAGCUCUUGCCUAGCAUGUGCAAGGCCCCAGGCUGAAUCCCCAGCAUUGGGAAAAAAAAAAAAAAACUGAAAUGAUGAAGAAUAAGCUAGAUUUCUUAGCAAAGCAUUUGAGAACCUUUUCUGCACCUUCUGUCUUUGUAAUCUUGCUCCACCAUGUCAUUUUGUAUUUUCUAUCAAGUUAAAUUUUCCAUGAAAUCAAAUUUUCCCUCCAAGAUCUGGAUCAAAAGACACUUCCUUGAAGAUAGAUUUUCAAAAUUAGUAUUUCUUCUUCUUUGUUGAGCUGAGAAUCAUAUCCAGGGCCUCACAUAUGUCAGGCAAUCAUUCUACCACUUAGCUACAUGCUCGGCCCCAAUAUUUCUUUUUUCUCUAUCUUUAUACAUGUUGCUUGUACCUCUCUAAGUCUGAGUCCUCCAAGAAUCAGAGCAGCCAAGAUAGAAUUAUACUACAACAAAUUUUUAUUAGAGGAAAUGUCUCUAAGAGGAAAUGGAGAGGGAGUUGGAACAGGCUACAGGAGCCAUCGGGCAAUGCAAGAAUAACCUCAACGGAGGGAGGAAAAGAGGGAGGGAGGAAAGAACAAACUUAGUUGGGUGCAGUCCAGUUCCCAAGAAUGUUCAGGAAGUCUGGUGGGGAAUCCUCAAGACAGUCUUUUCAGAAGAGGCUUAAAUGAGCUACCUUAGUAUCAUUGCUACUCUCUGUUCUUGGUGGGGAACAGCAGGUAGGAAGUGUGGCCCAGCACAGAAGCUGUCCUGGCUGUCCACACAGCAGGGGGCCUUGGUCACUUAUAUUCUACAGCCAGAGGACUGGGCAAUGCUUGCUCAUGACUGCUGCACCAUCGUUCCUUCACUCUGCCCUAAACUCUAUUUGAUUGGUGUAUCUAUAUCAAUAAAUAAAAAAUGUAAUCUUUCAUGUGGAUUAUAAACUACUGAAGAGCAGGACCCUUUCUGCCCACUUACAUGUUUCCCAUAGUAGGAUCUCAGCAGAGUAUUGCCAUGUUACUGAACUGAACUCUGGAAUGUAUUGGCUCAGGUCUCUGUUUGCAAUUCCUUAGGUAAGGAAUAGGGAUAAUAUCCCCUUAAAACAAGUCCCCAAGUACUUGCUCCCAGAAGUUGUAAGAUACUAUUUCAUGAUUAAUAUUGUUUUUAAAAACAUUUAGUCACAUUCACCUGGUAACCCAAUGGGCCUCCAUAUUAAAAUUCAGUUUUGACAUUUCUCUGUGAGUGAUAUGGCAAAGUGAAGCAUCUGCUGAAUGAAACCUCAUUUUUCACAAACUUGAUCCCCAAGAUGAGUUCAUUAUCGAACUUUGGGGUUAUAGUUAUAAUGUAUUUUAGUUCUUAAUUGGGGAAAUAAUUUAUUCCAGUAUGAUAUGCUCUACUAUUUCCUCAACAUUCCUUUUUAGGUAAUAUGCAAUGGAUCUUUCAGGCACAUUUUUCAGAUAAAAGUAGGAUUAUUAGUGGCUCUUAUGGGAGGAGAAUAUUAGAAAAAUCCGUGAUUAUUUGAAAUAUAAUAUGCAAUAUUAAGCAAGGAGGAAAAACAUGUAAAUAUAAGCAUUUUGUCAUGACAUACUACAUACAGUGCUCUCUGUAUUGCUAAUUUUACUGUCUAUGGUUAAGAUAAAAUAAUAUCGGGGGCUGGGAUUGUGGCUCAGUGGUAGAGCACUUGUCUAGCACAUGUGAGACACUGAGUUUGAUCCUCAGUGUCAUGUAAAAAUAAAUGAAUACAUAAAAGAAAGGUAUAAAAAGAAAGAUAAAAUAAUAUCUAUCAUGAAAAUCAGUCAGGGUCCAAUAAAGAGACAGAAACUCCACAGUAACUUGGAAAGAGAGGACUUAAGUGUAAAUAAUUAUUUAUAGCAAAACAAACAGGGCCUAAAAUACAACUCUGAAGAAUUUCUGAAGGCUGAAGGAUGGCACUUAAUGAAGGAAGCCCUCCCUGUGACUAGGGCUCAGAGCUCUUGGAGCAGUAACUGCCUACUGGCUGGUGGAAAAGCUCACUGGGUUACAUAGGCUACAGCUUGCCUACAAGCAGUCUGGGGAGACUGUAGCAUGAACUCUGGGUUGAGACUGACAAGCUGGAAGCCUCCUGCCGAGGUGCCAGGAACUGGGGAAACUACCAGGUGGGGUGCUGAUGAGAUCUUCUGGGAAGCCGCCUGCAGGGGCAGCUGCUGUUGAACUCACUGGGAAGCCGGCUGGAUACUGGCUGAACUCACCAGAAAACCACUAGGAAGUCGCUUGUGCAAUAGGUUUCUUUUAAUUCUCUGGGCACCCAGGGAGCUCUCCAGAAUCUGGCUGUGAGGGUGUGCCACUGAAUUUGCAGAUGUGAGAUGACCUCUGUAAUCACCCCCAGGGCCUUUCAGAAGCUGCUACUGGGGGAAAGAAAGACCACUGGACUCAGCCCUGGAGAGCCAGGUUAGAAGACAGCAGAACCCAACAGGAAAUGGUCUCGAGAGGUGUUGUUACACUCCCUCCUGAAAAGCCACCUGGGGCACUUCUGGAACUCACCUCAAGGUGAGCAAUGCUUCUGAAAUUCCCUAAGGUGAGCUCCCCUGGCUAUCCUGCAGGCCAGCUCAGCAUUGCAGGAGCAAGAAUGCUGGAAGGUACACCAGAACCAGGAAGAGACAUCCCUUCCCCCUGCAGUGUCCCUCCAGCACCCUCUACUGACAGUGCCGAACAUCCUGCCCGCUGGCAAGAGACAAAUCACAAGCAGACAGUGAAGGAACAGAGAGGCAAUGAGUUAACUGUGCUUCUGUCAAAGUCACUAUCUUGUAUUGAAAUUCUGUCUUCACUCAUUCAUGUUUUCUACUGGGAGAUAUGUGUUUCAAAAAUAGAAUUAUUUUUAUAUUUUGUGUGUAGUAUAGUUCCUGGCAUGUGUGAUGUAUUUGCCAAACGUUUGUCAAAAUGUUGUUCUGAAUAUGUAUAUAUUGCCUCUUGUGCUAAAGGAUUCUCUUGGUCAUACAAGCACUAGGUAUUCCCAAAUUUAGUUUGCAUAAAGAGAGGCCAUUAUGUUCACUGUUUGUAUAUGAAAGGAAAAUGGCAAUGGUGUUGAUUAACACAUUGCACGUGUGUAGAGGCAGUUUUCUAAAUGGGCUUCGUGUGCUGUGUGUGUGGAAGUAGGGAUUGAACACAAGGCUGCUUUACCACUGAACUACCCCCUCAGCCUUUUUGUUUUUAUUUUUGAAACCGGGUUUUACUAAGUUGCCCAGGUUUGGCCUCAAAUUUGCAAUCUUCCUGCUUCAGCUUCCUGAGUUGUUGGGAUUACAGGCAUGUGCUACUGUAACUGGCUCUAAAUAAAUGUUUUGAAAUUUCAGUUGGUGUCCAUUGACUGAAAAUCCUCCAAAACAUUACUAGAGAGGAAACAAAUCCUCCCUUUUGAGAAGCAGAUUAUUUUAUUCAGAAAUUUACUGAAAAAAUGAAAAAAAAAGCCAGUAUACUAUACAAAACUGACAUUUAACCAGUUGACAUAGACUUUAUUAAUAUGGGAAAACAGGAUAAAAUAACUUCUCCACUAUAGAGCACAUGAUCAUUAUUUUUAUUUUUAUUACUUUUUUUAGAGAGAGAAUUUUUUAAUAUUUAUUUUUUUAAUUUUCGGCGGACACAACAUCUUUGUUUGUAUGUGGUGCUGAGGA